rnacentral:rRNA from 1 species
UACGUAGGGACCAAGCGUUGUUCGGAUUUACUGGGCGUAAAGGGCGCGUAGGCGGCGCGGUAAGUCACUUGUGAAAUCUCUGAGCUUAACUCAGAACGGCCAAGUGAUACUGCAGUGCUAGAGUGUGGAAGGGGCAAUCGGAAUUCUUGGUGUAGCGGUGAAAUGCGCAGAUAUCAGGAGGAACACCGGUGGCGAAGGCGGGUCUCUGGGCCGAUACUGACGCUGAGGAGCGAAAGCAUGGGUAGCGAACAGG